ensembl:lncRNA
UAAUAAGCAACAGAUUCACUGAGAAAAUGCUUCCUAUCUGUUAGAAGAAUUUGACAGUUUUCAAAUGGAUGAUGCAUGAUUUAGGUUUGUUGACACUGAGUGAGCAGCACCUGAGGAACUUCAGAAAGUGCCAGGAUUUUCAGUGGAGGAAGGCAGGUUCCUGCUGCAUCCAUACAAUGUUGCUGACCAGCAGACUGGUGGAUACAUGAAGAAAACUCCUGCAUCCCUUCAAAAUGGGUCCUUUUCAAAGCACUGAGGCAUCGGGGCUUGGAUUUUCAGAGGUCCUGAUUUCAGCAAGAGCUGCACUUCUGAAGAUCAAGCCACAAACUCUCUACAACAGACUAGUCCGAGGGGAGGAAAAACCCACUAGAUGUGGAAGACAGAUCUUUCUAAAGAAAAAUGAAGAGGACUGUGUCACCUGCUCCUCCGUUCCAUUUAUCACAAAUCCCAUUCUUGAUAGGGAGAUGGAGAUAUUACUGACUUUUCUCUUUAAUAGAAGUGGGAGAUGGAUUCGAAACAUAAGCAUUUAAAGGCUUUUUUUGAAGAAUGUCAAGUGCUUGCAGGAGAAGCAAACAGUCAGCAACAUCAAACUUGAUGUGAUUCUCCUGAAAGGCUGUCUGAUGCAUUGGAAAUGCCACAUUUCCACUCCUGGAACCCAGUGCAAUUAUCUGGGGAAAAGGAAAUAAUUUCUAAACUAUUGACUUGCCCCAGUUGUAGAGCUAGCUCAAUGUGGCCUAAUGUUUUUCAGUAAAAGACUCCUAAUAAUCUUUUUUUAAAAAAAUGGUAGGUUGUAGAAUUUUUUGUUGCUGCUUCCAAGCCAGAAGGGCAUGGGACAUCUGCCACCAUGGAAGAAAAGUUGGUGGGUGACAUGAGAUUGAGUGGGAAUAGACUCUGCUUUACUUGCAGGACUUCUCUGCUGAGGUAUGACAGCUGUGGUAAACCAUUUACUGCCAUCAAGAGGCAGCUAUGAAAAGCUAUGAAAAGAAUAUGAAAUAUACUAUUCCUUUUCUGGGAAACAUACAGUGUUUCCCAACGACCAAUUUAUUAUUUUCACCCUAUCCAGCAAUACGAAAGGAUACAUCAGGGAUCUGCCUUUCUCUGCUCUGAAUAACUCAAAUUGGGCUGCAACAUGUGAAAUAAUUGAGCUGACCAGAAUUUACAGCUCUAGGUGGAGUUUCUUCUUUCUGUUGGGUUUGUGAGUCAUGACAAUAAGAGUUACCACAUGAGCACGAUGCAAAACUUACAUGCUCAUUUCUCAUUUUUCAUUUUCAUAUUGUUUUAUGACCGUGUUCAGCACCAACAUGGUCCAGAUCUCUUAGGAAAUAGUCUCUACAAUGAUGACGUGUUUUUAAAAAUCAGAGCAACAGACAGAUCAUGCUAGCCAUACUCUUUCAUUUUUUACUCAGAUCUUCAUGUAGUAAGUCCCGCAUGGCUUUCAGAGAGGCCUGUCUUGUUUAAUGUGGACUUUGUUGGUCUGUAAUUUAUUUUACUUAAUUAUUUAUGACUACAUUAUGUAUAUUAGCUACACUUGUCUAAAUAACAGGGGUUGCAAUGGAAGACUGUCUGUUCAGUUGAUGAAUUCCUGUUACUUUCUGCAUUUCUUAAGGUGAUUUUGUGAUGAGAUUAGUUCGCUGUUUAUUGUUCCUGUGCUUGUGUCUAUCAGCAACACUGGGACAACAAUAAGAUGAGGCACUGGCAGAACUUAAACAGAUGAACACAUAACAUUGGUUCCAUUUUGCACUUGGGAAUGCUUUGGGAUAGGGAAAUUUUCUAGAACUGAAUGAAUGAAAGAAUACUCCAAGCUAAUUUUUUAUUAAAAAGCACAUUUAAAUCAAGAGCUCUUUUUAUUCCUUACUGUGACAAAUUUGAGACCAUUGCCAUGUUUUUAUUUUAUUUUUCAUUCAUUAAAAUGAGACAAUUUAUAACAUAGUAAGUGGAAACGUACCUGGAAAAAAGAAAUAGACUGGACGAUUUUGCCUGUUUUUUACUGCUUGCUAACAGCUCUCAACCAUUACAGGCAGCUAGCAGACCAAGUACAAGUUAACCAUUUUAAUAUUUAUUGAUAGGGAAAAUACCCUGAGCACAAUUUUAAUAUGGUUUCCUUGGGCAUAAGGGCAUCAAUGGCUCUAUAAAAUGUAAAUACAUUCUUAAUUACCUCAAGUGCCCCUUCUGCCCAAGUGGCUCUUUUAGAUGAAACACGUCUUGCUAGUAAUUAGCACAAAUAUUGCUAACGGACUGUGAAGGGCAUAUUGUGGUGUUGUUUUUUGUUGUUGUUUUUGUUGUUGUUGUUUUUGUUUUUCUUUUCAGGUACCACAUUGGCAACAUGUAGAGUUCACUCCUCCUUCAGGAAAGUUCUCAGGGCCUUUUCCCUGUACGGGAGCUCGUCCAAAAUGAGGAUCAUCAUAAUCUUAUUCCUGACUGUUCCUGUGUUUCUUGCAGUCUGCCUUGAGUCCUUAACAUAAGUAAAAGGAGACAAAGGCACUUCCAAAUGUGUUACAGCUUUCAUUUUUUCCCAAAGGAAAUAUUCUUCCAGAAGUUCCUUUCUUUUUUCCACUCCCAAUUUUUGUUUCAGGAGCAAGCUCCAUUCCUGCUCCUCAGCCUCUCUCAGGAAUACCAUGUCGUGCUUCUACAUGAAGAUCUAAGCUUGUCCAUUCCGUUCUUAUCCUUUAAGGUGGAUGUUGCAUCUUGCAGAUCUCUAGCAGGAGAAGCCCAAAUUCUGAGAUGCUAGAGAGGUAAUUGCUGGAUUUGGAAUAGGGACCAAAUGAGGACCCUGGUGUGGAGGUCACCAUGAAAGGAGCUGUAAGGUGCAGGAAUUUUUUUUUUUCAAUUUUUUUUUCAGCGCUGCAGUGUGAAGGGUGCAUAAUUUAAUGGGCAGGGAAAAGAAGAGGGCCACAGUGCCUAUUUUGAGAGUAGUAGUCAGAAAGAAAUUGGAAAAAAUAAAUUCUCUACUCUGCACUGCUACA